rnacentral:rRNA from 1 species
UGGGGAAUUUUGGACAAUGGGCGAAAGCCUGAUCCAGCAAUGCCGCGUGUGUGAAGAAGGCCUUCGGGUUGUAAAGCACUUUUGUCCGGAAAGAAAUCCUUGGCUCUAAUACAGUCGGGGGAUGACGGUACCGGAAGAAUAAGCACCGGCUAACUACGUGCCAGCAGCCGCGGUAAUACGUAGGGUGCAAGCGUUAAUCGGAAUUACUGGGCGUAAAGCGUGCGCAGGCGGUUUGCUAAGACCGAUGUGAAAUCCCCGGGCUCAACCUGGGAACUGCAUUGAUGACUGGCAGGCUAGAGUAUGGCAGAGGGGGGUAGAAUUCCACGUGUAGCAGUGAAAUGCGUAGAGAUGUGGAGGAAUACCGAUGGCGAAGGCAGCCCCCUGGGCCAAUACUGACGCUCAUGCACGAAAGCGUGGGGAGCAAACAGGAUUAGAUACCCUGGUAGUCCACGCCCUAAACGAUGUCAACUAGUUGUUGGGGAUUCAUUUCCUUAGUAACGUAGCUAACGCGUGAAGUUGACCGCCUGGGGAGUACGGUCGCAAGAUUAAAACUCAAAGGAAUUGACGGGGUCAUAGCUG